CAUGGAAACACCAGUUUCCAUAUGAUCACCAAAGUUAAGCAAUGUCGAGCCUGGUUAGUACCUAGAUAGGUGACAGGUAAGGAAUAGCAAUUGCUGUA